rnacentral:rRNA from 1 species
AGUGAACGCUGGCGGCGUGCUUAACACAUGCAAGUCGAACGGUAACAGGAACUAGCUUGCUAGUUUGCUGACGAGUGGCGCACGGGUGAGUAAUAUAUAGUUAAUGUACCCCAAGACUGGGAUAGCCACUGGAAACGGUGAUUAAUACUAGAUACACCUCUUUAACAUAAGUUAGAGAGGGAAAUGUCUUUUCGCUUUGGGAUCAGACUAUAUCCUAUCAGUUAGUUGGUGAGGUAAUGGCUCACCAAGGCAAUGACGGGUAGCGGGUUUGAGAGGAUGAUCCGCCACACUGGUACUGAGACACGGACCAGACUCCUACGGGAGGCAGCAGUGAGGAAUAUUGCACAAUGGAGGAAACUCUGAUGCAGCAACGCCGCGUGGAGGAUGACGCAUUUUCGGUGUGUAAACUCCGUUUAUAUGUCAAGAAAAUGACGGUAGCAUAAUGAAUAAGCACCGGCUAACUCCGUGCCAGCAGACCGG